rnacentral:rRNA from 1 species
CCCUUAGAUGUUCUGGGCCGCACGCGUGCUACACUGAGUAAAUCAAUGGGUAAGGGAACACGAAAGUGCAACCUAAUCUUGAAAUUUGCUCGUGAUGGGGAUCGACGGUUGCAAUUUUCCGUCGUGAACGAGGAAUACCUUGUAGGCGCGUGUCAUCAUCACGCGCCGAAUACGUCCCUGCCCUUUGUACACACCGCCCGUCGCUCCUACCGAUUGAGUGAUCCGGUGAGGCUCUGGGACCUGGACGGAAAGGGCGUUUCGCUUGUUCUGUUUGGGAAACUUGGUCGAACCUUAUCAUUUAGAGGAAGGAGAAGUCGUAACA